AGGCAAACAUUACAGUUUUUGUUUCAUCCCGCCAUCAAACUCGAUUAACCGCUUUCGAUCUGAUUACUUUAGAUACCUACGAAGAGAUACUAGAUUAUUUACGCUUAUACUUAUGGUAUUCUGCCGGUGCCGUCUGUGUUCUCGGUGAUGUAAAAUACUUUAACAAGAUCAAACGCUACAUUAUCAGUAACUACGAAGAAUCAGAUAAAAAUGAAUAAUACCAAUACGUACAAUUUGUUAAACGCAGUGUGGAUGCCAAAAGAUGCGAAUCAAAUCUUUUGUGCUUACAUGAUUUACUAAACGCUGCUCCAGAAUUGUUAGCCUCUUCGUUGCUUUACAAGUCGCGUAUACAAGUAGCUCAAGUUGUAUUAUGGGCUUACGGACUCGAUGAUCGAGAAUUUGACGCUAAUGUUAAAGAAUGCUUGGAGGCUUCAUCACAACG